rnacentral:rRNA from 1 species
GACUCCGUGAAGCUGGAUUCGCUAGUAAUCGCGCAUCAGCCAUGGCGCGGUGAAUACGUUCCCGGGCCUUGUACACACCGCCCGUCAAGCCAUGGAAGCCGGGGGCGCUUGAAGUGCGUUGCCGCAAGGCGCGCCCUAGAGCGAAACUGGUGACUGGGGCUAAGUCGUAACAAGGUAGC